rnacentral:miRNA from 1 species
CAUCCAUCUUAUCAUUUAUCAA